rnacentral:rRNA from 1 species
UGGGGAAUAUUGGACAAUGGGCGAAAGCCUGAUCCAGCCAUGCCGCGUGUGUGAAGAAGGUCUUCGGAUUGUAAAGCACUUUAAGUUGGGAGGAAGGGCAGUAAGCGAAUACCUUGCUGUUUUGACGUUACCGACAGAAUAAGCACCGGCUAACUCUGAGCCAGCAGCCGCGGUAAUACAGAGGGUGCAAGCGUUAAUCGGAAUUACUGGGCGUAAAGCGCGCGUAGGCGGCUGAUUAAGUCGGAUGUGAAAUCCCUGAGCUUAACUUAGGAAUUGCAUUCGAUACUGGUUAGCUAGAGUGUGGGAGAGGAUGGUAGAAUUCCAGGUGUAGCGGUGAAAUGCGUAGAGAUCUGGAGGAAUACCGAUGGCGAAGGCAGCCAUCUGGCCUAACACUGACGCUGAGGUACGAAAGCAUGGGGAGCAAACAGG